AGCAGCGGGCCCAGCCUGCCCCGCAACAGCCAGCGCGGCUCCUGGAGGGAAACGAGCAAGGCGGCCCCGCAGGUGUGGCGCGGCCCUGGGAGGGCGCGUGCGAGCGCUGCUUUGUUUGGUGCCCGCACAGCCCCGGGCUCCAGGCCUGAGCGCCAACCUUCCCGAGCUGAGUCACGGCUGCAGAGCCCGAGGGCGGCCAUACGGCCCCGCCCGGAAGGAUGAGGCCCCUUCCUGAAGCUGGCGAGUCCGAUGCGGUGGCAGGGACAAAAGCCAGGGGAAGGUGGCUUCUAUUCUACAAAGCCCUUUAGGGAAGGGGGGAGUCAGGCCGCCCUCACCCAGUGCAGGUCCGUCACGAUGGUCACCCAGAGCACUCACGCAGAAAGCCAGCUUGCAGCCGCCAGCCCUGAGGAUGCCGCCCCCAAAGGGCUCAUUGCUCUAAUCACCCGUCCAGGGGCUUGAGGCAAAGCUCCAAGACAGACCUGUAGCAGCAUGGCCCAAAAAGUUCCUCUGCUGCCCCAGUCCCAUACCUGCCUGAGGUACGGGGGUUCAGGCUGAGUCGGCUGACCUGGAGUCAUCUGGAAGCCUUGUCAGAAAUGCAGAUUCUGCAGUGCUGUUCCCAGAGGAUGAGAUUCAGCAGAACUGGGUGUUGGAUAUUAUAUGAAGAGAUUUGCAAGUGUUAUUUUACGUAAUUCGCACUUUACAAAGGAGGAAACUGCAGCGCAGGUACCAAGGUUGCCCCAUCUCGGUCCAGGCCUGCUCCCGGCGAGCCACUCGCCCUUGACCACGCCUCCUCUCUCCUGAUUGGCUGUCAGGCAUGAGUCGACAGAGAAAGAUGACCACUGCCCUCACCCCACUAAAGAAGCCCCAGCACUUAGCAAGCACUUAUGGCCC
rnacentral:lncRNA from 1 species